CUACAAUGGCGUAAACAGAGGGAGGCGAACCCGCAGGGGGAGCAAAACCCAAAAAUAAACGUCCCAGUUCGGAUUGCAGGCUGCAACCCGCCUGCAUGAAGCCGGAAUCGCUAGUAAUCGCGGAUCAGAAUGCCGCGGUGAAUACGUUCCCGGGUCUUGUACACACCGCCCGUCACACCAUGGGAGUCGGGAAUGCCCGAAGCCGGCGGCCUAACCGAAAGGGGGGAGCCGUCGAAGGCAGGCCCGGUGACUGGGGUGAAGUCGUAACAAGGUAUC
rnacentral:rRNA from 1 species